CCUACGGGGUGCCGCAGUGAGGACUAUUGGUCAAUGGGCGCGAGCCUGAGCCAGCCAAGUAGCGUGAAGGAUGACUGCCCUACGGGUUGUAAACUUCUUUUAUAAAGGAAUAAAGUGAGGCACGUGUGCCUUUUUGUAUGUACUUUAUGAAUAAGGAUCGGCUAACUCCGUGCCAGCAGCCGCGGUAAUACGGAGGAUCCGAGCGUUAUCCGGAUUUAUUGGGUUUAAAGGGAUCGUAGAUGGGUUGUUAAGUCAGUUGUGAAAGUUUGCGGCUCAACCGUAAAAUUGCAAUUGAAACUGGCAGUCUUGAGUACAGUUGAGGUAGGCGGAAUGCGUGGUGUAGCGGUGAAAUGCUUAGAUAUCACGAAGAACUCCGAUUGCGAAGGCAGCAUACCGGCUCCAUACUGACGCUGAGGCACGAAAGCGUGGGGAUCGAACAGGAUUAGAUACCCCUGUAGUC
rnacentral:rRNA from 1 species